AUAUAGUAGAAUUGCGUUUACUCUGUAAUAAACAUGACCUAAAAUAAAUUACAAUGGAUGAUAAUUGGAAGAUUUACAUACAAUUUAUAAAAAAAAAAAAAAGAACAACGUAGAUCCUAAUCUAAAACUGUUAGUUAGAAGAGAUAUUUUUGGUAAUAGAACUUUAGAAUGGGUGUGUUGAUGAACAACCGAAAUGACCACAAUAAACCCCUAGAGAAAUAACGGAAGCAGAAAAGGAGGGAAGGGUAUAACAGUAAUUGUAAUAAAAAGGAAAGAGAAUUUGGUAAUUUGGUAGUUUCCUUCUAUUUGUCUGGCCCUCCAUUCAAAUCGUAUGUCAGUACGAAAUUAUUCUCUCACGUCCUUUCCCUCCACCACCUCCCAUGUCUGCUGCUCCACACAAAACUGCAUUCCUUCACACUUCAAAAUUCACUCAACCUGCUUCUUCCACCGCCAAAUGCCAAUUCCCUUCGUUUUCCACAGCCAAUUUUGCAGUACAUUCUUGUUUUCUCUCAAUAAUUUGUGGCUAUUUUACACUGGUUUCUUUCUUGUCCAUUCUUGUUCGUCGGUUUCUUCCGUUUAAUUAUUGCUCCUUCCUCCUCCUCCUCAAGUCUAUUAUGGUAUUAUCGGAUUUGACUCGUCGUCGUAUCUCUGCAACUCUGAAUUAAUCUCGUCCUCUUUCUUCUGCUUCAUUAUUGCACUUGAUGCUUCCAGAUUCAACUAUGGCUCUGCAGGAAGAUGGAUGGCCAUUAGGGUUGCGGGUUAUGAACGCCAGAGUUGGUGGAUUGGCGGGAAAUCAUGAUCUCUCUGCUUCGGUUUCUUUCAAUACUUUGCGUACUCAUUCUCCUAGUUCCUUCACUGAUUCUUCCUCAGAUCUUGACACAAAGGUAAUUGAUUUUUAGUCAACUGGAUCAUUCUACCCUGACAAGAGCAUCACGCUAGGGAGUCUCAUUGGAGUCUCUAGCAUUCUUGAGCUAUCACGAAGAUCAACAAAAGGAAACAAAGUGGAAAUACUCGAAGAUAAAAAGAAGUAUAAGUCCAAGCCAUGGUUGUUUUCUUUAUCUUUAUGCAUUAAACUCCGUCCUGAUGCUGUGAGCUUCAGCAGCUCUCCUUCACUUCAACACUCUCUUGAAGCAGAAAGGAAAGCUACAAGAAAUCGCAGGAAUCACAGUUCGACCCUUUAUGGACCCAAUGAUUACUCGCUUGUUCCUCCUGUUUCUGGAGCAAACUCUUUGUUUUCCAGUGAUCGAGUUGAUCCUGUGUCGUUUGCACAGGCGGGCGAAGAAGAAAGCAGAAGAUCAGAUGGAGAACUUGUUCAAAAUGGUAAUAGUCAGGGGAUUCCUCUACUCUUUUCAUGUCUAUAUUGCCAACUGAUUAAAUAAUUCUCUCUUUAAUUCGCUACAUUAACAUUUGAAUGCAACUUGUUCUUCAUAGGAAAAAUGAUGCAUUUCAAAUGUUAUAUGGUCAUUUCUUUCA